CGGGUGAGUAACACGUGAGUAACCUGCCCUCUUCUUUGGGAUAACGGUCGGAAACGGCUGCUAAUACUGGAUAUUCACUCAUUGGCGCAUGUUGGUGGGUGGAAAGGUUUUUUCUGGUGGGGGAUGGGCUCGCGGCCUAUCAGCUUGUUGGUGGGGUGAUGGCCUACCAAGGCUUUGACGGGUAACCGGCCUGAGAGGGUGACCGGUCACAUUGGGACUGAGAUACGGCCCAGACUCCUACGGGAGGCAGCAGUA
rnacentral:rRNA from 1 species